CCCUGCUGCAGGCUGGUUGAGUCGGCAAGUGAACUAUCCAGGGUCGAUAUUGGUGAGAAGAUGAGGAUGGUAACCAUUAGGAUGGUGAUAAUGAUGCUGAUGAUGAUGUCAUAACUAUGACAACCAAUGCUUCGUUACGUCCACAUGGUGCCAGGUAUGCCUCCUGAGCUCUGGUCCUGCCUGCUGAGGACCAUAUAAUGUGAAUUUCAAGCUGUCUGUAGAACUAGGCCUCCAACCCCAGCCAGCUCAGGACAUUCGGCAUGGUGAGCUUCUAUGGUUUUAGGGAGCUAUUGCAAGUGACAAGGAGAACAGUCAUCACGAGACCCGCCAGCACUGCCUAAAACACAGCUUGUCACUGAAAAUGACGCCUGACUAGAGCUGCCAUUGAAGUGAACAUGGAGCUUCUUCAGAGAGAAACGAGGUGCCAGUCACAUAGGAGGCAUGAACCCAACCACUGGGGUCUUCAGGAAUUAUGGGUAACUCCUUCUUGUUCAAAACCAUUUGGAUAAAAUAAAAUAUAUCAACUUUC